UGGUCUCCCACAUGUAAGCUGAUCCUCUAGAACUUGUGCUCAGCUGGGAUUUGUCCAAGAGUCUCUCCAUCCUGGGCCCCUGCCAAGAUGUCUUUUGCUGCAUGAGGUUGCCCAAGAACUCCCAAGAAGGGGCCAGGCCUAGUCUAACAAUACCAGUUCAUUAAGAUAAACAAGGAACCAAAUGGAGACCCUGAUAUCACUAAGAGGAACCCAGCAGUUGGCGCAGGUGAUGAUAUUGGUUGCUGUGCUGUGGUGCACUAGAGAAUCUUGAUCGUGCAAGCAUGAAUUUUGUCUUGGCAAAUCCAGAAGGAAUGAUGCACCUGUAUUUAAACUUGCAGACCUUGGAAAACCCUUGCAAAGAGCGGCAAGCCUAUUGAUAGGCUUUUGGCUGCAGCCAAAGAAGCCAGAAGCAGCAUUUUUGCUGAGAUGAAUGAAAAAAGGGGUCAGUGGUGACUGCCUCUGCUCUCAGCUGCCACUCAACAGGUAGGUCAAG
rnacentral:lncRNA from 1 species